rnacentral:rRNA from 1 species
GGAAGUAAAAGUCGUAACAAGGUUUCCGUAGGUGAACCUGCGGAAGGAUCAUUAUCGAAUUCUGAGGGGGGGGGGGGGGAAGAUGGAGGAGUGAAGACUGUCGCUGGCCCCCAUCUCUGGGUGGGGCAUGUGCACGUCUUCCUUUUCGUCGACCCCCUUUCUCACACACAACACACACCUGUGCACCUGUUGUAGGUCCUCGGAAGAGGAUCUAUGUUUUUCACAUCACACACCAUCGUAUGUCUAUAGAAUGUAUUGAAGACCGUCCGGGAUGGAUGGUCAAUAAUAUUAAAUCAUACAACUUUCAGCAACGGAUCUCUUGGCUCUCGCAUCGAUGAAGAACGCAGCGAAUUGCGAUAAGUAAUGUGAAUUGCAGAUUUUCAGUGAAUCAUCGAAUCUUUGAACGCACCUUGCGCUCCUUGGUAUUCCGAGGAGCAUGCCUGUUUGAGUGUCAUUUGAAUUUCUCAAACCCCAUGUCUUUUUUAGAGCAUGAGCUUUGGAGUUGGGGGCUGCUGGCGGCGAAAAGCCGUCGGCUCUCCUGAAAUGCAUUAGCAAAGGACGGGGCAAGUCUUUGACGUGCAUGGCCUUCGACGUGAUAAUGAUCGUCGUGGCUAGGAGCGUCGGACAUGCAUGAAUCUGUCUGUGCUGCUUCUAAUCCCCUAGGCUAGCCUCGGCUUGGUCACUUUUAACUACUAGUUGGUCGUGAGGCUGACGAACGUUGAGUUGGGCUGAGCAAGGCUUUUGUCUCUAUUCGAAACUUGACCUCAAAUCAGGUAGGACUACCCGCUGAACUUAAGCAUAUCAAUAAGCGGAGGA